UGAUGACUGUUCCUCCUGUCGCCUUUAGGUAUGGCGCUAGGAUUUUAGGUCAUCAUAAAUUAAAAUAGAUUUUUUUCACUCAGAGAAUAUUAAGACGUUGAGAGGCACUUGGUCAUGUCUUUUAGCUCUCAUGGCUGAUUCUCUU
rnacentral:snoRNA from 1 species